UACGUAGGUGGCAAGCGUUAUCCGGAAUUAUUGGGCGUAAAGCGCGCGUAGGCGGUUUUUUAAGUCUGAUGUGAAAGCCCACGGCUUAACCGUGGAAUGGCAUUGGAAACUAACGAACUUGAAUUCAGAAGAGGAAAGCGGAAUUCCAUGUGUAGUGGUGAAAUACGUAGAGAUAUGGAAGAACACCAGUGGCGAAGGCGGCUUUCUGGUCUGAAAUUGACGCUGAGGCUCGAAAGCGUGGGGAGCAAACAGG
rnacentral:rRNA from 1 species